rnacentral:rRNA from 2 species
CUAAUACAUGCAAGUCGAGCGGACAGAUGGGAGCUUGCUCCCUGAUGUUAGCGGCGGACGGGUGAGUAACACGUGGGUAACCUGCCUGUAAGACUGGGAUAACUCCGGGAAACCGGGGCUAAUACCGGAUGCUUGUUUGAACCGCAUGGUUCAAAGAUAAAAGGUGGCUUCGGCUACCACUUACAGAUGGACCCGCGGCGCAUUAGCUAGUUGGUGAGGUAAUGGCUUCCACCAAGGGCAACGAUGCGUAGCCGACCUGAGAGGGUGAUCGGCCACAACUUUGGGACUGAGAACCACGGCCCAGACUCCUACGGGAGGCAGCCAGUUAGGGAAUCUUUCCCGCAAAUGGACGAAAGUCUGACGGAGCAACGCCGCGUGAGUGAUGAAGGUUUUUCCGGAUCGUAAAAGCUCUGUUGGUUAGGGAAGAACCAAGUGCCGUUCUAAUAGGGCCGGUACCUUGACGGUACCUAACCAGAAAGCCACGGCUAACUUACUUGCCACGCACCCGCGGUUAAUACUUAGGUGGCAAGCGUUGUCCGGAAUUAUGGGGCGUAAAGGGCUCGCAGGCGGUUCCUUAAGUCUGAUGUGAAAGCCCCCGGCUCAACCGGGGAGGGUCAUUGGAAACUGGGAAACUUGAGUGCAGAAGAGGAGAGUGGAAUUCCACGUGUAGCGGUGAAAUGCGUAGAGAUGUGGAGGAACACCAGUGGCGAAGGCGACUCUCUGGUCUGUAACUGACGCUGAGGAGCGAAAGCGUGGGGGAGCGAACAGGAUUAGAUACCCUGGUAGUCCACGCCGUAAACGAUGAGUGCUAAGUGUUAGGGGGUUUCCGCCCCUUAGUUGCUGCAGGCUAACGGCAUUAAGCCACUCCGCCUGGGGGAAGUACGGUUCGCAAGACUGAAACUCAAAGGAAUUGGACGGGGGCCCGCACAAGCGGUGGAGCAUGUGGUUUAAUUCGAAGCAACGCGAAGAACCUUCCAGGUCUUACAUCCUUCUGAACAAUCCUUAAAGAGAUAGGGACGUUCCCCUUCCGGGGGCAGAGUGAACAAGGUGGGUGCCAUUGGUUUGGCCGUCAGCUCGUGUCGUGAGAUGUUUGGGGUUAGGUCCCGCAACGAGCGCAACCCUUGAUCUUAGUUGCCAGCAAAUUCAGUUUGGGGCCACCUCUAAAGGGUGAACUGGCCCGGGUGACAAAACCCCGGGAAGGAAAGGGUGGGGGGGAUGAACGUCAAAUCAUCAAUUGGGCCCCUUAUACCUGGGGGCCUACACACCCCCGUGCUACAAAUGGACAGAACAAAGGGCAGCGGAAAACCGCGAAAGGUUAAGCCAAUCCCCCAAACUGUUCUCAGUUCGGAUCGCAGUCUGCAACUCGACUGCGUGAAGCUGGAAUCGCUAGUAAUCGCGGAUCAGCAUGCCGCGGUGAAUACGUUCCCGGGCCUUGUACACACCGCCCGUCACACCACGAGAGUUUGUAACACCCGAAGUCGGUGAGGUAACCUUUAUGGAGCCAGCCGCCGAAG